rnacentral:rRNA from 1 species
UACGUAGGGUGCGAGCGUUAAUCGGAAUUACUGGGCGUAAAGCGUGCGCAGGCGGUUCGUUAAGUCUGAUGUGAAAGCCCCGGGCUCAACCUGGGAAUGGCAUUGGAAACUGGCGGGCUGGAGUGUGGCAGAGGGGGGUGGAAUUCCGCGUGUAGCAGUGAAAUGCGUAGAGAUGCGGAGGAACACCGAUGGCGAAGGCAGCCCCCUGGGCUGACACUGACGCUCAGGCACGAAAGCGUGGGGAGCAAACAGGAUUAGAAACCCUUGUAGUCC